AUCUGAUGCUGAGGACAUUUGAUGCACAAUUUUUUGAAUCGCUCCCAGUAAUCAUAGAGCAACUCCCCUGGAUGCUAUUUGAUACCGUAUAUCUUUUUCCUUAGCU